ACAAUUGAAAGAGCCAUUGAAAUGGUUUUAAAAGAAGUAAGAAGAGUUACCAAUGUGUGAAUCCCAUUUUAUAUACCAAGAAGAAGUCUGUAAAGCUACAUUGACAGAAAGAAGAAGGGAAUUUCUUCAAUUAUUGGAACAGAUAUCUAGAAAAAGUGCCUGCAAACUUAAAUGUGGUUUCUCCAGGUUAUACCAGGUUUUCAUAGAUGAAGAAAGGACUAUACUAGUUCAUUGUUUCCAUCGAUAAGCAGACAUUUAUGUUUUCCUGUCCUGUGU